rnacentral:rRNA from 1 species
AAUGCGCUGCUUACCAUGCAGUCGAACGGAGAAUUUAUUUCGGUAGAUUCUUAGUGGCGAACGGGUGAGUAACGCGUGGGCAAUCUGCCCUUCAGAUGGGGACAACAUCCCGAAAGGGGUGCUAAUACCGAAUACGAUCAUAAUUCCGCAUGGGAUUAUGAUGAAAGAUGGCCUCUAUAUAUAAGCUAUCGCUGAAGGAUGAGCCUGCGUCUGAUUAGCUAGUUGGUGGGGUAACGGCCUACCAAGGCGAUGAUCAGUAGCCGGUCUGAGAGGAUGAACGGCCACAUUGGGACUGAGACACGGCCCAAACUCCUACGGGAGGCAGCAGUGGGGAAUAUUCCGCAAUGGACGAAAGUCUGACGGAGCAACGCCGCGUGAGUGAUGAAGGUUUUCGGACUGUAAAGCUCUGUUGUUUAGGACGAAAGUACCUGUUGCAAAUAGUUGCGGGUAUUGACGGUACUGAACGAGGAAGCCACGGCUAACUACGUGCCAGCAGCCGCGGUAAUACGUAGGUGGCAAGCGUUGUCCGGAAUUAUUGGGCGUAAAGAGCAUGUAGGCGGAGGUUUAAGUCUGUUGUGAAAAUGCGGGGCUCAACCCCGUAUUGCGAUGGAAACUGAAUUUCUUGAGUGCAGGAGAGGAAAGGGGAAUUCCCAGUGUAGCGGUGAAAUGCGUAGAUAUUGGGAGGAACACCAGUGGCGAAGGCGCCUUUCUGGACUGUGUCUGACGCUGAGAUGCGAAAGCCAGGGUAGCGAACGGGAUUAGAUACCCCGGUAGUCCUGGCCGUAACGAUGGUACUAAGGUGUUUAGGGGGUAUCGACCC